rnacentral:rRNA from 1 species
AGUGGCGAACGGGUGAGUAAUAUAUCGGAACGUGUCCAAUAAUGGGGGAUAACGAGUCGAAAGAUUCGCUAAUACCGCAUACGCCCUACGGGGGAAAGCAGGGGAUCGUAAGACCUUGCGUUAAUGGAGCGGCCGAUAUCUGAUUAGCUUGUUGGUGAGGUAAAGGCUCACCAAGGCGACGAUCAGUAGCUGGUCUGAGAGGA